GUUAAGAAUCAUGAACCACCACUGCGCCUGCGCACAGCGCCGGGGUUCAGGCUGCAGCGCCAGAGCACAUGCUUGCGCAUAACUGGGGCCAACCGCUCCCCACCGGCGGCCCUUUCAAGCAAGAGCGACAGGG
rfam:Myotis brandtii contig305547, whole genome shotgun sequence.